rnacentral:misc_RNA from 1 species
GAUGAAGAACGUAGCAAAAUGCGAUACGUAGUGUGAAUUGCAGAGGUAUGUGAAUCAUCGAAUCUUUGAACGCACAUUGCGCCCCCUGGUAUUCCGGGGGGCAUGCCUGUUCGAGCGUCAUUUCACCACUCAAGCCUCGCUUGGUAUUGGGCAACGCGGUCCGCCGCGUGCCUCAAAUCGACCGGCUGGGUCUUCUGUCCCCUAAGCGUUGUGGAAACUAUUCGCUAAAGGGUGUUCGGGAGGCUACGCCGUAAAACAACCCCAUUUCUAAGGUUGACCUCGGAUCAGGUAGGGAUACCCGCUGAACUUAAGCAUAUCAAUAAGCGGAGGA